CCUCGACCGCAAUCAAUCAGUUAUUUGUCAGCUCUUGUCAAUCCGCCCGUGAUUUAUGUCAGCUUUUGUUGCUGAUUACAAGGCUGGUGCGACUUGAAGGGAAAAAGGGAGAGGGAGAGGGAGAGAGACAGAGAGGAAGGAAGAGACCGAGGGGGAACUGGAGGAGGGAGAAAGAGGAGCCGCCUCCUGGGAUGUUGGGGGGGGGCGCUAAGAAAAAGAAUGAAAGAAGGGGAAAGAGGCGCUCAGUGUCAGGAAAAUGAAUAGCGAGAGUAAAGUGCGCAGGUGCGCCCGGGGCGCCGAGAUGGGGCGCGCAGGCCCGGCGUGUGCGCUUCGCUUCUCGGUGUAGGAGGGACAGAUGCACCGUCCACCUGGGUGGACGCCGCAGAGUUGGGAGGCUCGGGGUGACCAGGGCGAGCGGCCGCGACGUCUAACGCGGGAGAUUUCCUGCCUCCCCGGGGUAUCCCUGCGGGAGUGCCAGGCUGUGCUAUCCGGCCGCGGACACCACCUUUCAUAGUGCCCCGACCCCACACUCGGAGACUUCUUUCCAACAGCCGCGCCACCCACGUAACCUCGAGUCCUGGAGGUUAAUGGUGCUGUAGCCAAGGGGGAUUCUUUGAUCCCCUGGGAUUGCAGCGUGGACUGCACGGCUGCGGGGAAGAGGCUUGACCAUGGGUGUUGGGGAAAACACGCUUCAGGCUCACUACGCCGAUCUGUCGCCCUCCCCCGGUGCCCACUCCUCGCCGUCCUCGCAGUCCUGGGAGCCUGGGCUCCUCGGGACUGCUCGCUCAGAGGUCACAGGACGCCGAGCGGGGACUGCCCGGCGCGGGUAGAGCAGAAGGAAGGAGUGAAGGGAGAGGGCGGCUGCCGGUGGGAAUGCGCGUUCUUCCCAGGAAGCGGAGCGGGACUGCCGCGUUCCCCUCGAUUUGCACCGUCAGCCGGGCCUGCCGUUUGGACAGAAGAGGGAGGCGCUGUGCGUGUCGCGGUGUCCCCGGACGCGGGCGCACAGAGUAUACGUGCGUGUGUGUGUGUGUGUGUGUGUGUGUGUGUGUGUGUGUGUGUAUCUGCGCCGCUGUCGCAGUGCUCAGGGCCUCGAGAGCGUCCGGAGCGAGUUCGAGGGUCACCUCCAGCAAUUCGCAGAAACUGAAAGAGGGGAGGACACACCUCCUUCCUCGGGAGGACUUGGAAGACUUUGCAUCUCCCCUCCCCCACUUUUCCGCCCGGCUCUUCUUUUGUUGUCAAGUCCUUUUGAUAAAUGGUGGGGCUGGAAGCGCUGGGAGCCUGGAGUCCGUCUGUGCCGCGCGGGGCGGGGGCCGGGUUUCGACCGGCGCGCACCCGGAGCGGAGCCGGGUACGCGCGGGGGUCCAGACUGGGACCUACCCUCACCCCUUUCCCCCUUCUGUCUGUUUCCCACUCCGCAAGGGUACAGAGAACUUUCUGGGAAUCGACGAGAUUUCUCUGACUGUCAUUUGCAUUGAAUUUAUCCGAAUAAAUCCAACUCUCAGGCAUCCAGCAGAACCCGCUCUCUACUGGCAAGCACUGUGCGAUGCACCCGGCCCAGCCAGGGUUGCGGGGUGGCUCCCGGGGCUCAGGGCGGCAGGUCUGACCUCCGAGGUCGGUGCACCAAAGGAAGGCACCCUCAGCUCCAGCGGCUUCUCGCUGCUCAGCGGUGUCUGGCGCCUUCACUUUGCUUAAUGCCUCGGGAACUUGCCUGGCUGAGUCCGCCAGCAGCGAAAAACUGAAAGCAAACUCUACUGCAGACGUAGCCUGAACUUUUCUCGACCCAAGUUUGCAACCAAGAUUGGUGACGGCUUUGGGAGGACCUCGGGCUUGGGAGUGCGCUGGCGCGGGGCAGGGUGGGGUCAAAGAGGGCACAGGAUGGCCGCGCCUGGCCGGAGGCGAAAAUGCUAGGGAAGCCUUCCACUCCACUCCUACUUCUUUACAACUCUGCGGCUCCGAAUGGUAAAAAAGAAAAGAAAGAGUAAGUUUCCAACCUGCCACGAACGCCCAGGCUGGAUCACACUAGGGGGCAACUCGAAGGGGCCGGACUUUUAAAACUUGCUGAAAGCUUGGCUCAGAAGCGUCAUCCCACGAAGCUCAAGAAAACUGAGGACCCUUUCACCUCCUUUGGGACGGAAUAGUCAGGAGCCAGUCCGGGCACCCCUCUGCCUACUUCUUUAUCCUGGCCUCGAACAAGAGGUUAAGUAACUACCCACCGACACUGUGGAGCUGCAAACUUUCAGCUCUGCGCUGCGAUCCACAGAAGAGGCCUGGACAUAGAGGGGCGGGAAAGACCACUCCUCCGCCCCCUCGACCCCAGGAGAGAUCUGCACCGGGAUGGCCGGGCGAGUGCGGUUCCCACAUGUCUGUUCCGAUGCUCAGAGCUGAUCCCCCAACUCCGGGCAGCCGGCGCUUUUCCCCUGAGUUUCGGAUUUAGGGAGCCCGCGGAGGGGCGCAAAGUGCGCGCGCGGACUGGCGCGGGGGCGGCCGCUCAUCUCACCGCGGGGCCUGUCGCCGGGCUGGCCGCGGCGGGUGAGUGAUGAGGGCAGAGAAGGGCGCCCAUAAAUCGUGGGUGUCAGGGCGAAAAACUCUCUUUAUUGUCUGCGUGAUGGAUGGGCCCGGGGACGAGACACCAAAUACUUCGUAUCGCCUUUAAAUGGGAACACAUUUUCCGCGGCCAUAAUUCAUGUUUUUUAAAUAGAAAGUUUGAAAUGUUGCCUAUAUUUCACCAGCCCUGACAUAUUUAUGAAUCGCUCCCUGCAUGCAAAUAUCAUUAUUUAAAGCGCCAGGGAGAGCGCGGGGGAGGGGAGAAGGCGCGGUCCCCGGGGCGUGGGGGUUGUGAACCGGGGAAAUGUCGGGAGGGGGGACAUCUCCCUAAAGGGCAAAGGAUGGAGCGCGGGGAGGAGACCGCGCUUCGGAGCUGAGCUCGCCAAGGGGCUUUCUUCCGGCUGCCAGGCAGCGCGCGGCCACGGGGGAGGAAGGUUGCGCGGUUUGGGGCGCAGGACGAACCCUGGUCUCCUGUCUCUAGGCCGGGAAAUAUUUCAGGUCCCUCUCCCAGGGAUGGACCCAAGCUGAAGCCAUCUUUUCCAAAAAGGAAGUGAAAAAAAAAAAAAGGAAUUUAACAAACGUAAAUAAUAACCCAGUAUGUUUCAUGUUCUUUGCUAUUGCAUCGAUUUAUUGAUUUUCAUUCUGCAAACCCGGGAUUGUGCGCACCCGGACCGGGCGGCUAUCAGAACUCAGCCACCGCAGGGGACAGGUGAGGGGGACCAUCCCCGGGGACCACCGCCCCGAUCCGCCCCACCCUGCAGCCUCACCACUUCCCAGGUACAACGGCGAUAGCGCAAGACGCGGGGACACCAAUGACCCGGCCUCCAAGCUCCAGGGCUGCAGUCCCGCCCCUUCUCUCCCCCAGCAUAGCUUCCAGGGUCUGCGUCCACCCGGCUGGACCCCCUACUGUCAGAACAAUCGCUUUGGAAAAAAGCUGGGACCAGGCCGUGGCUUUUCCCUAGUCGUCCUGCCCGGGAAGCGCCUACACCUGCGCCCCUACUUGCCAAGACUUUACCUGUGCGGUCCCCAGCUGCGCCUGCGGCCGCGCAGAUAACACAGAAAUGGUAGGGAAGGCGGGAGAGUGGGUGGGUCAGACAGCAUCACCCGAGAGAGCCCGAGGCGCAGACCCAGGGGCGUCGGUGCAGACCCGAUGCUGGGACCCUAGCCCAACCCGCCAGCGGAUCCAAAUAGCACCAAGGAGAUCCGGCAAGGGGAGGGACCCGGGGAAGGCUGCUGCAGCUGCCGGAGGGGCGGGCCCAGCAGCACUUCCGCUGGAGGCGGGGCUGCGGACUGAUGCGCAGGCCCCGCCUCUCCGUCGCGCUGGCCCCGCCUCUCCGCCGCUCCUGCCCACCCGCUGCUCGCUAGGCUUCUCCCCAUCCGCUGCCGGGGCGAAGAAUCUUAAGUGCCAGCCCAAUCCCUGAGACAGAACUCCAGGUUGCAAUGGGCGGACGGUCUCCAGCACUGCAGCCCAUCACUCUGGAGGAGCCUUCUGAGGCUGUCGCUUCUCUGCCUAAGGGAGUGAGAGCAGGACUGGCCUGUUGACCCCCGCUGUGCAGUGGGCUCAACCCAACCCUAGCCCCUGGCCAGCCCCCAGCUUCCUGGGAAAAGCAGCCCGCUCUUUCUUUGUAGUCUCUAUGGAAGCCAGACUUCCAAAGGAGACAAACUCUUUCCACUUUCUCCAUUCUUCGUGAACUUGGGUGUGAUAGGCAGCCAUCGUGUCACCAGGAGGAAAAGUACAAGAAAAUAGCAGACUUAAUUCUGAUGUCACCGGGAUACAGAGCCACCAGCAGUGACCAACUUGCUCCAAAACUUUUGUUAAAAAAAAAAUAAAGUUCCUAUUUCUUUAAGUCAAUGAAAUUGGAGAUUUUUGUAUUUUCAGCCAAACAUAUCCUAACCUUCCCCUUUAGCAAGCACUUCCAAUGAUGUUAUACCAUGGAAAUUC